ACUCGCCUGCGUGAAGCGGAAUUGCUAGUAAUCGCAGAUCAGCAUGCUGCGGUGAAUACGUUCCCGGGCUUGUACACACCGCCCGUCACACCAUGGGAGUCGGUAACACCCGAAGCCUGUAGUCUGACCUUUUGGAGGACGCAGUCGAAGGUGGGAUCGAUGACUGGGGUGAAGUCGUAACAAGGUAUC
rnacentral:rRNA from 1 species